CCAGCCGCGUGGAGCAGGGGGGGCCCGGGGGACUCAGCGCGGCGCCGCAAGAUGGGAGGUGUUUUUUCCGUCCUCCCGCAAAAGUUGGCUGAAGACUGUGCUCCCUAAAGACAGACUACAGACGGACGAAAGGAAGACAGCGUAAGGUGGUAGUAAGGUGGCGCUGCAACUCGAGAAUCUUUUGGUUUGUUUUGUUUUUUUUUCUCUCAGCCAAACUUUAGGAAUCAACUACACCAAGAUGCUGUGAGAAAAACCACUCCGUCUUUGGGCACAGGUAAUAAGCUCUCUUAUAAGAUGUCCAGUACUUUCUGGAUGAUCUCUGUAGAACAGUGCAUCGG
rnacentral:lncRNA from 1 species